rnacentral:rRNA from 1 species
AGAACGAACGCUGGCGGCAGGCCUAAUACAUGCAAGUCGAACGCACUCUUCGGAGUGAGUGGCAGACGGGUGAGUAACGCGUGGGAACCUUCCCAAUGGUACGGAAUAACUCCGGGAAACCGGUGCUAAUACCGUAUAAGCCCCUCGGGGGAAAGAUUUAUCGCCAUUGGAUGGGCCCGCGUCUGAUUAGCUAGUUGGUAGGGUAAUGGCUUACCAAGGCUACGAUCCGUAGCUGGUCUGAGAGGAUGAUCAGCCACACUGGGACUGAGACACGGCCCAGACUCCUACGGGAGGCAGCAGUAGGGAAUCUUGGACAAUGGGCGAAAGCCUGAUCCAGCCAUGCCGCGUGAGUGAAGAAGGCCUUAGGGUUGUAAAGCUCUUUUGGCGGGACGAUAAUGACGGUACCCGCAGAAUAAGCCCGGCUAACUUCGUGCCAGCAGCCGC